CAAUGCGUAACAAUGCCAGGUUAACUUAUUUCCUCCUAUAGCUAUAAGAUAAUGACCAAAAGCAUUAGAAGGAGAGAACUAGGUGAUUGGCUUCAAAUAAUGGAAGUUUCCAGACUAAAAUCUCACUGAGAUGCUUUGAGAUGAAGUGGAUAGCAGAGAGAAAGCAAAGUAACCAAAGUGCCACACAUUUCUGCAACACUGUUUGGACAAAUGUUUCAACCAAAGUUUCGUUUAAUGUAAGAAGAAUGUCAUAAGUGUGCUCAUCAGGUUUUCACAUUGAAUCUAGGAUUUAAAAUUUAAUUACUUAUGUAACAAGUGUCACCUGGCAGUUUGUUGCUCUCUGCCAGGUGAUUGGCUGAAGAGCUGUGAAAAGGUAGUGGGUGUGUGGGGUGAAGUCAGCGCUCUUCUGUGGAAAAAACCAGAGGCAAUUAAUUCACUCAGGUGCGAGUGGGUAUACUGUCGUGUGACCACGAAUUUUAAUAGAAGAAUUGAUCAAGCCCUAGAUCGACUGCGCGCAGGGAAACUGAUCAAUAUUGUAGGCAUAUUGAGUGUUUGUUUUAGCUUCAUGAUUUUGAAUGGUUUUAUAAAAUUGCUAUUUUAUUGGGUAAUAUUUUAAUUGAUAAUGUUGUUUGUUUUUCAGCUGUGCUGUCUCUGCUGUCCUUUUUUUUUUUUUUUUUUUUUUUUUUUUUGUUCUUUUGAUUGAUUUGUAAUUUUGUUUUGGUUAGUCCGUCUAGCCGUAGAGGCGGUUAUUGAUUGAGAGUAAGUUUUGUAAGGGCGGACUAACCUCUCUUUUGUUUUUUUAUUUUAAUUGUUUGUGCCACUUCCCUUUAUCUCUCAGAUCACAGGCCAUACAUAGCACUGAUUCCCAGUUGCGCUGAGACCCGAAUUGUUUGCAGUGUGUGCCACGAUUGCAGUGUCGCUAAGCGGGGUGUGACGGGUUGCAGUGUUAUUUCGCGCAGUUUGUAUGGUAAGUCUCAUGUGCAGCUGGGAUAUCAGCAGGAUGUGUUGUAAGUCCUGUCUGGAAACGACUGGGAAUUUGUAUGUUUAACUCAUGUAAUAAAUAAAUGAUCAAUUAUUUCUUUGCCCCGUUUACUCAUCCCUUGUCCUCGGUUACACUUAUUUUUAAUUUGUACUCACACUGACACUCACCGGCCACAUUACUACAUACACCUUACUAAUACCACGUUGGAUCCCUUUGACCUUCUUUAUGAUUUAGGAUUCGUGUAGAUUUUGGCUCAUAUUCAGUUUCAGCGUUCAAGAAACCAGUUUGAGAUGGGCUUUGUGACGUGGUAUGUCUUCUUGUUGGAAACAACCAGUGUUGGGACUAACGCGUUACAGUAACUACGUUAUUAUUGUGGUAACGAGCACGGUAACUAGUUAUUAUGCCAAAACCAGGAACGCGUUACUCGUUACUGGGAUUUAGAUAGGGUCGUUACUCGUUACUUCGUGUGGUGGCUAUCGCGGAGCUUCCACAGAUUCAGUAACAUUAGCAAGUGGUGGAGGCCAGCAGGUGGAUGAAGGAAAAGGGACACAGAAGGAAAAGAGACCCGAGGUGGCCGCCGGUCCAAGUGUGAACUGAACUUCAGGUAAGAAGUUAUGACCUGC
ensembl:lncRNA